CUUCAGCUUGGGUUGACAUAUCUGAUGCCAUCCAAGAUUUAUUUCCCAUCCCCUAUUCAAGAUGAGGCCUGCAAUGGCGAUUUUGCAGAUAAAAGAACUGCAGAGGAUUAACAGGUGCUGACAUCUGGUGCCCUGAUUAUCAAAAACUGCACUGAGAGGAGCCCAGAAGAUCAGGUCCAACACAGGCAGCAGAAGCCAGCUGAGAUGAAUCGAGUUGUGGAUAAAUGUCUGUGAUUAUCACAAAAGGGGUAGAGCCAGCAGUUUCACUGAAGGGUCCUCAACUGAAGGGUCCUCGCUCUCCAUCAGCUUCCACACAAUUGAAUGCAAGGCCAAGCUCAUCUGCCUGCAGGGCACCAAGGGUGGCUGAGAAAUGAUGGCCUUGGUUAUGGAGGGGAAGAGCUGGAUACCGGCUGUGUUUGCAGGGCUGUAGCUUGAGUGCGUGACUACAGCAGCUGUAGCUGCUCAGUAUGGUGGAGCAGACAAAAACGUUCAGUACACCUGAAAUCUCAGAGCUGCCUCAGAUUACUGAGUCUUUGAAUUAAUUCAAAUCAUUCUCUAAUAAUCAUAAUCUAAACACCUUUAAGGUGGCUUCUGUGGGUCCAGGGCACCAUGCAACCUCAGGUGAAGCAAGUACUUGGGGGCAAACUUUACCUGAAUUAUUCACUUAAAUGAGUAAGAAAAUAAAAUGGAAAUGGAAAGAACAAGUUAAAGAAGUUCUAUUUUGGUUAUUAG